rnacentral:lncRNA from 1 species
GAAAAAUAAUUAAAAAGAUAAAAAAUCACAAGUAAAAAUAAUUCCAAUAUAACGGCAAAAACGAAAAGUACAAAAUAUUUAUAUACUAAACCUUAAAACCCGAAAUAAGAACCGUCCUCCAUGAAAAUAAAAUUAUCUAGUAACUUAUAAAAACUAAUAACUAAAUGUAUAACUGGUUAUUUUUUCUAGAAUGGAAAACUAAAAAACAAUGUUUAAUAGCGAGAAAAAAAACUGAAAAAUACUAGGC